rnacentral:rRNA from 1 species
AGAGUUUGAUCCUGGCUCAGAACGAACGCUGGCGGCGUGGAUAAGACAUGCAAGUCGAACGAGACUUUUCGUUGUAGCAAUACGAUGGAAAGUUUAGUGGCGAACGGGUGCUUAACACGUGGGCAACCUGCCAUGAAGUGGGGGAUAGCUCGCCGAAAGGCGAAUUAAUACCGCAUGUGAUUAGAGAGGACAUCCUUUCAAAAUUAAAGUCGGGGCAACCUGACGCUUCUUGUGGGGCCCGCGGCCUAUCAGCUAGUUGGUGAGGUAACGGCUCACCAAGGCUUUGACGGGUAGCUGGUCUGAGAGGACGACCAGCCACACUGGGACUGAGACACGGCCCAGACACCUACGGGUGGCAGCAGUCGAGAAUUUUUGACAAUGGGGGAAACCCUGAUCGAGCGACGCCGCGUGGAGGAUGAAGGUCUUCGGAUUGUAAACUCCUGUCAUUUGGGAACAAGGUGCACACGUUAACUGCGUGCGUAUUGAUAGUACCAGAAGAGGAAGAGACGGCUAACUCUGUGCCAGCAGCCGCGGUAAUACAGAGGUCUCAAGCGUUGUUCGGAUUCAUUGGGCGUAAAGGGUGCGUAGGCGGCGCGGUAAGUCGGGUGUGAAAUCUCGGAGCUUAACUCCGAAACUGCAUUCGAUACUGCCGUGCUUGAGGACUGGAGAGGAGACUGGAAUUUACGGUGUAGCGGUGAAAUGCGUAGAUAUCGUAAGGAAGACCAGUGGCGAAGGCGGGUCUCUGGACAGUUCCUGACGCUGAGGCACGAAGGUCAGGGGAGCAAACGGGAUUAGAUACCCUAGUAGUCC